rnacentral:rRNA from 1 species
ACGCACGCUGGCGGCGUGCUUAACACAUGCCAGUCGAACGGAAAGGCUCCAGCUUGCUGGAGUACUCGAGUGGCGAACGGGUGAGUAACACGUGGGUAAUCUGCCCUGCACUCCGGGAUAAGCCUGGGAAACUGGGUCUAAUACUGGAUAUGACCUUUCUCCUUAUGGGGUUUGGUGGAAAGUUUUUCGGUGUAGGAUGAGCCCGCGGCCUAUCAGCUUGUUGGUGGGGUGAUGGCCUACCAAGGCGACGACGGGUAGCCGGCCUGAGAGGGUGAUCGGCCACAUUGGGACUGAGAUACGGCCCAGACUCCUACGGGAGGCAGCAGUGGGGAAUAUUGCACAAUGGGCGGAAGCCUGAUGCAGCGACGCCGCGUGAGGGAUGACGGCCUUCGGGUUGUAAACCUCUUUCAGCAGGGACGAAGCGUAAGUGACGGUACCUGCAGAAGAAGCACCGGCUAACUAUGUG